rnacentral:rRNA from 1 species
GACGAACGUUGGCGGCGUGCUUAACACAUGCAAGUCGAACGGAAAGGCCCUGCUUUUGUGGGGUGCUCGAGUGGCGAACGGGUGAGUAACACGUGAGUAACCUGCCCUUGACUUUGGGAUAACUUCAGGAAACUGGGGCUAAUACCGGAUAGGAGCUCCUGCUGCAUGGUGGGGGUUGGAAAGUUUCGGCGGUUGGGGAUGGACUCGCGGCUUAUCAGCUUGUUGGUGGGGUAGUGGCUUACCAAGGCUUUGACGGGUAGCCGGCCUGAGAGGGUGACCGGCCACAUUGGGACUGAGAUACGGCCCAGACUCCUACGGGAGGCAGCAGUGGGGAAUAUUGCACAAUGGGCGGAAGCCUGAUGCAGCAACGCCGCGUGCGGGAUGACGGCCUUCGGGUUGUAAACCGCUUUCGCCUGUGACGAAGCGUGAGUGACGGUAAUGGGUAAAGAAGCACCGGCUAACUACGUGCCAGCAGCCGCGGUGAUACGUAGGGUGCGAGCGUUGUCCGGAUUUAUUGGGCGUAAAGGGCUCGUAGGUGGUUGAUCGCGUCGGAAGUGUAGUCUUGGGGCUUAACCCUGAGCGUGCUUUCGAUACGGGUUGACUUGAGGAAGGUAGGGGAGAAUGGAAUUCCUGGUGGAGCGGUGGAAUGCGCAGAUAUCAGGAGGAACACCAGUGGCGAAGGCGGUUCUCUGGGCCUUUCCUGACGCUGAGGAGCGAAAGCGUGGGGAGCGAACUGGCUUAGAUACCCUGGUAGUCCACGCUGUAAACGGUGGGUACUAGGUGUGGGGUCCAUUCCACGGGUUCCGUGCCGUAGCUAACGCUUUAAGUACCCCGCCUGGGGAGUACGGCCGCAAGGCUAAAACUCAAAGGAAUUGACGGGGCCCCGCACAAGCGGCGGAGCAUGCGGAUUAAUUCGAUGCAACGCGUAGAACCUUACCUGGGUUUGACAUGGAUCGGGAGUGCUCAGAGAUGGGUGUGCCUCUUUUGGGGUCGGUUCACAGGUGGUGCAUGCCUGUCGUCAGCUCGUGUCGUGAGAUGUUGGGUUAAGUCCCGCAACUAGCGCAACCCUUGUUCACUGUUGCCAGCACGUUAUGGUGGGGACUCAGUGGAGACCGCCGGGGUCAACUCGGAGGAAGGUGGGGAUGACGUCAAGUCCUCAUGCCCCUUAUGUCCAGGGCUUCACGCAUGCUACAAUGGCUGGUACAGAGAGUGGCGAGCCUGUGAGGGUGAGCGAAUCUCGGAAAGCCGGUCUCAGUUCGGAUUGGGGUCUGCAACUCGACCUCAUGAAGUCGGAGUCGCUAGUAAUCGCAGAUCAGCAACGCUGCGGUGAAUACGUUCCCGGGGCU